rnacentral:rRNA from 1 species
AUUGAACGCUGGCGGCGUGCCUAAUACAUGCAAGUCGAGCGAAUGGAUUGAGAGCUUGCUCUUAUGAAGUUAGCGGCGGACGGGUGAGUAACACGUGAGUAACCUGCCCAUAAGACUGGGAUAACUCCGGGAAACCGGGGCUAAUACCGGAUAACAUUUUGAACCGCAUGGUUCGAAAUUGAAAGGCGGCUCCGGCUGUCACUUAUGGAUGGACCCGCGUCGCAUUAGCUAGUUGGUGAGGUAACGGCUCACCAAGGCAACGAUGCGUAGCCGACCUGAGAGGGUGAUCGGCCACACUGGGACUGAGACACGGCCCAGACUCCUACGGGAGGCAGCAGUAGGGAAUCUUCCGCAAUGGACGAAAGUCUGACGGAGCAACGCCGCGUGAGUGAUGAAGGCUUUCGGGUCGUAAAACUCUGUUGUUAGGGAAGAACAAGUGCUAGUUGAAUAAGCUGGCACCUUGACGGUACCUAACCAGAAAGCCACGGCUAACUACGUGCCAGCCGCCGCGGUAA